rnacentral:lncRNA from 1 species
GGCCCUGAAUGAUCUAAAGAUAUUGAAAUUUAAUAUAUACACACAAAUUGCGUCCAUAUACUUUUAAAAAGUAAGACGACCUCAGAUUUGUGUAAUUACCUUUGACAUACUUGAUCUUAAUAACUAACUUUAAAAGAAGAAUCAUUGAGCUACUACACCAUAUGCAUAAUUGAUAGAUACGCUUUUUUUUUUAGGAAAUGAGCCUUCAAAC